rnacentral:tRNA from 1 species
GAGGGUGUAGCUCAGUGGCAGGGCACGUGCUCAGCACGCACGCAGUCCUGGGUUCAAUCCCCAGUGCCUCCA